rnacentral:rRNA from 1 species
UUUAAGGUGGCUAUAGCAUCGGGGCUCACCUCUUCCCAUUCCGAACAGAGAAGUUAAGCCCGUUAGCGCAGAUGGUACUGCUGUAUUGUGGGAGAGUAUGUCGCCGCCUUUU